AGCUGUUAUGGACACACACAGGCUGAUGUAAGUUUUAUUGCAGUUUGCACAGUUGCUGUGUGCAUAUAUGAGCUUCAACAGGCAGCAUGUGUAAACAGUGAUAAUGCUGUGUUUGUGCAGUGUGUGUGUGUGUGUGUGUGUGUGUGUUUUGCUCGGUUUCCUCACUGUUAGCAAACACGCCGCGUUGCCAUGUUCUCCCACUCACUGCUGACAGAAACAGCUCAACCACUGUGUGGGAGUCAAGUGUGGCAGGUUUUCUCACUGUCUGUGCUCGUAACGUUGCUAUAACCAUCACACCCAAUCUGAACUGGUUCCACUGGGAGGAAAGACCAAGCAGCGCUACAUCACACAUGACCUGAAACCUCAACCAGAAUAUGCCAGAAUCUAGAUGGCGGUCAUAAGCACAUUAUCUCCAGAGGGGUUUGGCUGUCGUGGCGUUGGGAGGGCUGUGUCGUGGCCAUGGCUGUGUGGAGCAGCAGCACAGGAAACGCGUCAAAGCGCUGAGAGCUAACUGGAACCAGAUGUCUGAGGCUACUGGCCGGGGGAUUCUCACCGUGGAACAAGAGCGUCAGCGGGGGAAGUUCGCCCCCCACCCCCCGACUGUCUUGCUGUCUUCUCUAUCUGUCUGUAUCUCUGAAUCUUUUGUCUCUGGGUUGUUUCCUUCUCUCUCUCUGUCACAUCUACCUGACUUAUGACUCUGUGGCAGGGGUGAAUAAAAAAGCUAUGAGGAA